GACGAACGCUGGCGGCGUGCCUAAUACAUGCAAGUCGAACGCAGGGGGGACGGGUGAGUAACACGUGGGUAACCUCCCAUCAGAGGGGAUAACACUUGGAAACAGGUGCUAAACCGAGACUGAUGGAUGGACCCGCGGUGCAUUAGUUAGUUGGUGGGGUAACGGCUAACCAAGGCCACGAUGCAUAGCCGACCUGGGAGGUGGAUCGGCCCACCUGGGACUGGGACACGGCCCAGACUCCUACGGGAGGCAGCGGUAGGGAAUCUUCGGCAAUGGGCGAAAGUCUGACCGAGCAACGCCGCGUGAGUGAAGAAGGUUUUCGGAUCGUAAAACUCUGUUGUUAGAGAAGCGGUAUCUAACCAGAAAGCCACGGCUAACUACGUGCCAGCAGCCGCGGUAAUUC
rnacentral:rRNA from 1 species